rnacentral:rRNA from 1 species
CUGGUUGAUCCUGCCAGUAGUCAUAUGCUUGUCUCAAAGAUUAAGCCAUGCAUGUCUAAGUAUAAGCGAGUAUACUGCGCAAACUGCGCAUAUGGCUCAUUAAAUCAGUUAUGGUUUAUUUGAUGGUACCUUGCUACUUGGAUAACCGUAGUAAUUCUAGAGCUAAUACAUGCAGGAGGUUCCCGACUUCGGAAGGGAUGUAUUUAUUAGAUAAGAAACCAAACCGGUCUCCGGUUGUGUGCUGAGUCAUAAUAACUGCUCGAAUCGCACGGCUCUACGCUGGCGAUGGUUCAUUCAAAUUUCUGCCCUAUCAGCUUUCGAUGGUAGGAUAGAGGCCUACCAUGGCGUUAACGGGUAACGGAGAAUUAGGGUUCGAUUCCGGAGAGGGAGCCUGAGAAAUGGCUACCACAUCCAAGGAAGGCAGCAGGCGCGUAAAUUGCCCGAAUCCUGACACAGGGAGGUAGUGACAAGAAAUAACAAUACAGGGCUCUUCGAGUCUUGUAAUUGGAAUGAGUACAAUUUACAUCUCUUCACGAGGAUCAAUUGGAGGGCAAGUCUGGU